CUGCCAACGUUGAAAUUAAUUCUAACCAAUUGCGGUCUCGUAUGUGAGGAUCGAGCAACGGCCGGCUUGGCGAUCUAACAAGAUCUAAACUUCGGGCGGAUGUGCGCGGUUGAAGACUGUUUUACAAGAAAGAAUUUCGUAGACAAAGAUGGACAAUUUGAGUUUUCCUUCUGCAAAGAAAAACUAUAACUCUAUAUAAUAUAGAGUAAUUAUUAUAAUAUAUUAUUAUAAUAUAUUAUAGAUUAUAUAUAUACUAAAAAGAUAUGCCAAAAAUGUUGAGAGUAUCAAAGAGAAUAAUAAGCGUGAUUACUCUUGCACGGUGUGCAACGAGAAAUAUGAAGCCUCUCCCAUAGUGGAUUGAAUUGAAUGUUCUUCGUGCAAGGAAUGGACGCACGAAGUGUUAUGGUUCCUAUUUUUGCGAGAACUGUGACGACUAAUGUGCCAUUUUUCAUCGUUGUUCCUUUUGCCCGCUCUGCGAAUCCGCUUUGCCCGCAAUUUACAAAAUUUUAGUCUCGCAAAACCGUGAACCCUGACCCAGGAACGAGAGAAGGGAGAAAGUCGAGGGCUGAGAUCCGGUAGCCGGGGAUCUUAAUUCGAGUUUAACGAAAGUAGUUGAUAAGGAGCGGAGGAACCGCCUCGAUAAUUGGUUCUCGAACGUCGAGAUUGUUCCAUCCGUUGUGCGCCGCCAGUGAUUCAUCCCUUCGGCCACCCUCCGAACGGGAGCGUAGCCAUUCUAGCCACGAGCUACGCAUUAAUUUGGGAACGAUCUCGUGGGAGGAAUAAGGAAUACCUGCUAUCUUUCCCUGCGCGCACACCGUAUCAGCUUCCCGGUGCUGGACGACCUCGGAUAAUUGCUCACAAGUUGACCCGGCAUUCAGCAACGCCCUUAGACCGGUGACGCAGCUCAAACUAUCCUCCCGGUGCAUCUGCGCCCUCAGGAUGCACCUGGCCAGCUCCUUGAGACGGUCAAACGGUAAACUGUCGCUGUGUUAAUAGAGGCGGCUAGUAGUCUAUGGUCGUGAUUUAUGGGGAUUUACUGCGUACGAAAGCGAAUUUGCCACCUCCGCUUAAAAUUCAGUCUUGUAUUUUUGUGUAUUACGUUCUGCGUAUUUAUAGCGUUAAGUAUUCGCGAAUAUUUACGUGUGCAUCGAUAUGUUUGAUUUCAUGAAAUAUGGAAGUAACGAUGAAUAUUGUGGCGUAACAUUAAAAUUAUAGUGAUAUAUGAAAAUAACAGUAACACGCGAGGUUUAUAGCGAAAUACAAAAAUAAUAUUGAAAUAUGAAAAUUAUAAUGAAGUGUGGAAAGUAUAGUGAAGUAUGAAAAUAAUAGUGGAAUAUGAAAA